CGAGGGGCAGCAUGGUCUUAGCUUGCUAAGGCCGAUGGCGACCGGCGCACGGGUGAGUAACACGUAUCCAACCUGCCGUCUACUCUUGGACAGCCUUCUGAAAGGAAGAUUAAUACAAGAUGGCAUCAUGAGUUCACAUGUUCACACGAUUAAAGGUAUUCCGGUAGACGAUGGGGAUGCGUUCCAUUAGAUAGUAGGUGGGGUAACGGCCCACCUAGUCUUCGAUGGAUAGGGGUUCUGAGAGGAAGGUCCCCCACAUUGGAACUGAGACACGGUCCAAACUCCUACGGGAGGCAGCAGUGAGGAAUAUUGGUUAAUGGGCGCAGGCCUGAACCAGCCAAGUAGCGUGAAGGAUGACUGCCCUAUGGGUUGUAAACUUCUUUUAUAAAGGAAUAAAGUCGGGUAUGUAUACCCGUUUGCAUGUACUUUAUGAAUAAGGAUCGGCUAACUCCGUGCCAGCAGCCGCGGUAAUACGGAGGAUCCGAGCGUUAUCCGGAUUUAUUGGGUUUAAAGGGAGCGUAGAUGGAUGUUUAAGUCAGUUGUGAAAGUUUGCGGCUCAACCGUAAAAUUGCAGUUGAUACUGGAUAUCUUGAGUGCAGUUGAGGCAGGCGGAAUUCGUGGUGUAGCGGUGAAAUGCUUAGAUAUCACGAAGAA
rnacentral:rRNA from 1 species